rnacentral:rRNA from 1 species
AAAUUGAAGAGUUUGAUCAUGGCUCAGAUUGAACGCUGGCGGCAGGCCUAACACAUGCAAGUCGAACGGUAACAGGAAGCAGCUUGCUGUUUCGCUGACGAGUGGCGGACGGGUGAGUAAUGUCUGGGAAACUGCCUGAUGGAGGGGGAUAACUACUGGAAACGGUAGCUAAUACCGCAUAACGUCGCAAGACCAAAGAGGGGGACCUUCGGGCCUCUUGCCAUCGGAUGUGCCCAGAUGGGAUUAGCUUGUUGGUGGGGUAACGGCUCACCAAGGCGACGAUCCCUAGCUGGUCUGAGAGGAUGAGCAGCCACACUGGAACUGAGACACGGUCCAGACUCCUACGGGAGGCAGCAGUGGGGAAUAUUGCACAAUGGGCGCAAGCCUGAUGCAGCCAUGCCGCGUGUAUGAAGAAGGCCUUCGGGUUGUAAAGUACUUUCAGCGGGGAGGAAGGGAGUAAAGUUAAUACCUUU